GAGAAGGUUAGCUCAGCCAACUGUUGGAUAUGUUGGUUCAAGCCUGUAGUCGUGCCUGGUAGGUAAAUCCGCCGGGCUUAGAUGGGGGGUGAUAACGAGGCUGCUUGCAGCCGAAGUGAGUGAUACCCUGCUUCCAGGAAAAGCCACUAAGCUUCAGCUACACACGACCGUACCGCAAACCGACACUGGUGCGCGAGAUGAGUAUUCUAAGGCGCUUGAGAGAACUCAGGAGAAGGAACUCGGCAAAUUGACACCGUAACUUCGGAAGAAGGUGUGCCUUUAGUAGGUGAAGUCCCUCGCGGAUGGAGCCCAAUGAGGUUGCAAAAAAUCGGUGGCUGCGACUGUUUAUUAAAAACACAGCACUCUGCAAACACGAAAGUGGACGUAUAGGGUGUGACGCCUGCCCGGUGCUGGAAGAUUAAAUGAUGGGGUGCAAGCUCUUGAUUGAAGUCCCAGUAAACGGCGGCCGUAACAAUAACGGUCCUAAGGUAGCGAAAUUCCUUGUCGGGUAAGUUCCGACCUGCACGAAUGGCGUAACGAUGGCCACACUGUCUCCUCCUGAGACUCAGCGAAGUUGAAAUGUUUGUGAUGAUGCAAUCUCCCCGCGGAAAGACGGAAAGACCCCAUGAACCUUUACUGUAGCUUUGUAUUGGACUUUGAACAGAUCUGUGUAGGAUAGGUGGGAGGCUUUGAAGCAGGGUCGCUAGAUCUUGUGGAGCCAACGUUGAAAUACCACCCUGGUGUGUUUGAGGUUCUAACCUAGGUCCAUUAUCUGGAUCGGGGACAGUGCAUGGUAGGCAGUCUGACUGGGGCGGUCUCCUCCCAAAGAGUAACGGAGGAGUUCGAAGGUACGCUAGGUACGGUCGGACAUCGUGCUAAUAGUGCAAUGGCAUAAGCGUGCUUAACUGCGAGACUGACAAGUCGAGCAGAUGCGAAAGCAGGACAUAGUGAUCCGGUGGUUCUGCAUGGAAGGGCCAUCGCUCAACGGAUAAAAGGUACUCUGGGGAUAACAGGCUGAUACCGCCCAAGAGUUCAUAUCGACGGCGGUGUUUGGCACCUCGAUGUCGGCUCAUCUCAUCCUGGGGCUGUAGCCGGUCCCAAGGGUAUGGCUGUUCGCCAUUUAAAGAGGUACGUGAGCUGGGUUUAAAACGUCGUGAGACAGUUUGGUCCCUAUCUUCCGUGGGCGCUGCAGAUUUGAGGAAGCCUGCUCCUAGUACGAGAGGACCGGAGUGGACACACCUCUGGUGUAUCGGUUGUCACGCCAGCGGCAUUGCCGAGUAGCUAAGUGUGGAAGAGAUAACCGCUGAAAGCAUCUAAGCGGGAACUCGUUUCAAGAUGAGAUCUGCCGGGGCCUUGAGCCCCCUGAAGAGUCGUUC
rnacentral:rRNA from 1 species